UUUAAAGAGAGUUUGAUCCUGGCUCAGGACGAACGCUGGCGGCGUGCCUAAUACAUGCAAGUCGAACGAACGGAGGAAGAGCUUGCUCUUCCAAAGUUAGUGGCGGACGGGUGAGUAACACGUGGGCAACCUGCCUGUAAGUUGGGGAUAACUCCGGGAAACCGGGGCUAAUACCGAAUGAUAGAAUGU
rnacentral:rRNA from 1 species